UACGGAGGGUGCGAGCGUUGUCCGGAAUCACUGGGCGUAAAGGGCGCGUAGGCGGCCUGAUAAGUAGGGGGUGAAAUCCUGCGGCUUAACCGCAGGGCUGCCUUCUAAACUGUCAGGCUGGAGCACAGUAGAGGCAGGUGGAAUCCCCGGUGUAGCGGUGGAAUGCGUAGAGAUCGGGAAGAACAUCAGUGGCGAAGGCGGCCUGCUGGGCUGUUGCUGACGCUGAGGCGCGACAGCGUGGGGAGCAAACAGG
rnacentral:rRNA from 1 species